CCUACGGGAGGCAGCAGUGGGGAAUAUUGGACAAUGGGGGGAACCCUGAUCCAGCCAUGCCGCGUGUGUGAAGAAGGCCCUCGGGUUGUAAAGCACUUUCAGUGAGGAAGAACGCCUGGUGGUUAAUACCCAUCAGGAAAGACAUCACUCACAGAAGAAGCACCGGCUAACUCCGUGCCAGCAGCCGCGGUAAUACGGAGGGUGCGAGCGUUAAUCGGAAUUACUGGGCGUAAAGCGCGCGUAGGUGGCUUGAUAAGCCGGUUGUGAAAGCCCCGGGCUCAACCUGGGAACGGCAUCCGGAACUGUCAAGCUAGAGUGCAGGAGAGGACGGUAGAAUUCCCGGUGGAGCGGUGAAAUGCGUAGAGAUCGGGAGGAAUACCAGUGGCGAAGGCGGCCUUCUGGACUGACACUGACACUGAGGUGCGAAAGCGUGGGUAGCAAACAGGAUUAGAUACCCGUGUAGUC
rnacentral:rRNA from 1 species